rnacentral:rRNA from 1 species
AGAGUUUGAUCCUGGCUCAGAAUCAACGCUGGCGGCGUGCCUAACACAUGCAAGUCGAACGAGAAAGUGGAGCAAUCCAUGAGUAAAGUGGCGACCGGGUGAGUAACACGUGACUAACCUACCUUCGAGUGGGGGAUAACCUCGGGAAACCGAGGCUAAUACCGCAUAACAUCGCAAGAUCAAAGCAGCAAUGCGCUGGAAGAGGGGGUCGCGGCUGAUUAGCCAGUUGGCGGGGUAACGGCCCACCAAAGCGAAGAUCGGUAGCCGGCCUGAGAGGGCGCACGGCCACACUGGAACUGAAACACGGUCCAGACUCCUACGGGAGGCAGCAGUGGGGAAUUUUGCGCAAUGGGGGAAACCCUGACGCAGCAACGCCGCGUGGAGGAUGAAGCCCCUUGGGGCGUAAACUCCUUCGACCAAGACG